rnacentral:rRNA from 1 species
AGAACUUAGCAGAGAUGCUUUGGUGCCUUCGGGAACUCUGAGACAGGUGCUGCAUGGCUGUCGUCAGCUCGUGUUGUGAAAUGUUGGGUUAAGUCCCGCAACGAGCGCAACCCUUUAUCCUUUGUUGCCAGCGGCUCGGCCGGGAACUCAAAGGAGACUGCUGGUGAUAAACCGGAGGAAGGUGGGGAUGACGUCAAGUCAUCAUGGCCCUUACGGCCAGGGCUACACACGUGCUACAAUGGCGCAUACAAAGAGAAGCGACCUCGCGAGAGCAAGCGGACCUCAUAAAGUGCGUCGUAGUCCGGAUUGGAGUCUGCAACUCGACUCCAUGAAGUCGGAAUCGCUAGUAAUCGUAGAUCAGAAUGCUACGGUGAAUACGUUCCCGGGCCUUGUACACACCGCCCGUCACACCAUGGGAGUGGGUUGCAAAAGAAGUAGGUAGCUUAACCUUCGGGAGGGCGCUUACCACUUUGUGAUUCAUGACUGGGGUGAAGUCGUAACAAGGUAGGCGUAGCGAG